rnacentral:rRNA from 1 species
GGUUGCGAUCAUAACAGCACUAAUGCACCGGAUCCCAUUAGAACUCCGCAGUUUAGGGUGCUUGGGCGAGAGUAGUACUAGGAUGGGUGACCCCCUGGGAAAUCCUCGUGUUGCAACCC